GACGAACGCUGGCGGCGUGCCUAAUACAUGCAAGUAGAACGCUGAAGCGAGGAGCUUGCUCUUCUUGGAUGAGUUGCGAACGGGUGAGUAACGCGUAGGUAACCUGCCUUGUAGCGGGGGAUAACUAUUGGAAACGAUAGCUAAUACCGCAUAACAAUGGAUGACACAUGUCAUUUAUUUGAAAGGGGCAAUUGCUCCACUACAAGAUGGACCUGCGUUGUAUUAGCUAGUAGGUGAGGUAAUGGCUCACCUAGGCGACGAUACAUAGCCGACCUGAGAGGGUGAUCGGCCACACUGGGACUGAGACACGGCCCAGACUCCUACGGGAGGCAGCAGUAGGGAAUCCUCGUCAAUGGGGGCAACCCUGACCGAGCAACGCCGCGUGAGUGAAGAAGGUUUUCGGAUCGUAAGGCUCUGUUGUAAGUCAAGAACGGGUGUGAGAGUGGAAAGUUCACACUGUGACGGUAGCUUACCAGAAAGGGACGGCUAACUACGUG
rnacentral:rRNA from 1 species